rnacentral:rRNA from 1 species
UUAGGGUGCAACCCUAUGAGGGGAGGUGAAAUCAAAUUUAUCGUGAGUUUACCGGCAUCUACAUAACCCUUUGUGAACAUACCUAACCGUUGCUUCGGCGGGCAGGGGGAAGCCUCUCGUGGGCGGACCCUCCCGGCGCCGGCCCCGUCACGGGGGCGGAGCGCCCGCCGGAGGAAACCAAACUCUAUUUACACGACGUCUCUUCUGAGUGGCACAAGCAAAUAAUUAAAACUUUUAACAACGGAUCUCUUGGUUCUGGCAUCGAUGAAGAACGCAGCGAAAUGCGAUAAGUAAUGUGAAUUGCAGAAUUCAGUGAAUCAUCGAAUCUUUGAACGCACAUUGCGCUCGCCAGCAUUCUGGCGAGCAUGCCUGUUUCGAGCGUCAUUUCAACCCUCAAGCACCGCUUGGUUUUGGGGCCCCACGGCCGACGUGGGCCCUUAAAGGUAGUGGCGGACCCUCCCGGAGCCUCCUUUGCGUAGUAACUAACGUCUCGCACUGGGAUCCGGAGGGACUCUUGCCGUUAAACCCCCAAAUUUUUUCAGGUUGACCUCGGAUCAGUAGGACUACCCGCUGAACUUAAGCAUAUCAAUAAGCGGA